GACACGGCCGCCUUCGGUCCUUACGGCAGUCAGCGCAUCGGCUGCCACUGGGCGAGCAGCUCGCACGGGCUGCAGAUGGGGUCUGAGUCACAGGUUUCCCUGACUCCAAAAACCCACGUCCUGUCUACACCCCGGGAGGCCCAUCAGUGGAAAGGGGGCCGCUCUGGAAGGCACCCACGGCUGAGCCUCCUGGGUUUGCGGCCCCGGCCCCCGCGAGGCGGGAGCGGAGGGGUGGGCUUCAGUGCCAGGGGCUGUAUCCAGGGAUGGGAAGGCAUUUGGGGAAACUGAGGCUCUGGUCCCAAGCGUAUUCCCACCUGUUCAGAUGUUUGAGGUUAAUUAAAGGACAGCGAUCGCCACGUGGAAUUUUUACCCAUGGUUGCUGAAUCGGCAACAAUCUGUGCCAAGGCGACUGCCGGGUCCGGACAGAACCGGCGGCUUCUGCUCGCGUUUUUGCAGCGAGGGAAGAGGAUUACGGCCGACCGAGUAGACCGCGAGCUUCAGGCCUGGAGCGGAGACCGGAGAGUUCCUGGUCUAGGUAAUUCGAUAGACGCGUUGGCCGGCACCCGCCGCGGGGGUUUGCGCAGCCGGAGCCGUGGAGGCGGUGGGAAACAACCUCGAGUGGCUGGGGUGCGCAGGCGCCCUCGUUUCCCCCCCAGGGGGGAG
rnacentral:lncRNA from 1 species